rnacentral:lncRNA from 1 species
AAAGAUGGAGUCUAGGAACAGUCGAGAGUCACGCAAAUAUUAAAGGUGCCCUUGGCCUCAUGAGUGGUCGGUAGGAGCUGGCUGCAAGGAGCCUUUGAAAUGGUGCCGAGUUCUUCCUCUGCCAGAAAGCCUUUCCUCCGUGCUGACUGUGUCAAAGGCUACUCCCAGGCACUCCAAUCAUUGUUCAAUGGAAGACUUAAAAGAAGCCCUGUGACUCGGGCUCAAAUCUGAAUAAGAUAGUUUCGAAGGAGAAGGAAGAGAAGUUAGAUAAAGAUGAGAAUUCAGAGGUGGAGAAGUAAGAUGAUCAACAGUUGCCUGCCUUGGACUUUGGAGUACCCAAGAACUAGGGAGGAAGGAGAGAGUCUGAAUACUGCUCCUUGUCCUCAGAUGAGCUCUUCCUGUACUCAUGUCUGGAUCCAGAGGAAAUAAGACAUGACAUCUGGAGUAUCGCUUCUGCAAGGGAACGCAGAUAAAAGCAGCCUGCAGAAUGGAUGUGAGUUCUAGGAGUGCAGGAUGGAUGACUUUUGGGUCACCUUUGUGUUUUCAGGCCCUAGUACAGCACAUGGCACAUAGAAGAAUACGUUUUUAUUGGAAGCAUUGAAAAAUCAGUCAAAGUUAAGAAGCAAGACCACCUCAUUUUUAAUUUUUUUAGAGAGUCUCAUUCUGUUACCCAGGCUGGAGUGCUGUGGCAUGAUCAUAGCUCAUUGUAGCCUCGACCUCCUGGGCUCAAGCCUCAGCCUCCAGAGUAGCUAGGACACAGGCCACCAUGCCCGGUUCAUUUUAAAAUUUUUUCUAGAGAUGGGGAUCUUGCCGAGUUGCCCAGUCUGGUCCGGCACUCCUGGCCUCAUGCAAACCUCCCACCUCAGCUUCCUAAGAAGCUGGGACUAUAGGUGCAUGCCGUGCCUGGCUAAUUUUUAACUUUCUUUUUUAAGAAAUGGGGAUCUUGCUAUGUUGCCCAGGCUGAUCUGGAGCUCCUGGACUCAAGCAAUCCUCCUGCCUCGGCCUCUCAAAGUGUUAGGAUUACAGGUGUGAGCCACUGCACCUGGCCAUAGAGAACCUCCUUUUUGACAUAAAAGUAAUCAUGAACAUGUGUGCAGUAUUUCAUUUGGAUGCCAAUGUAGAGUUAAGCAUCCCUAACCCCACCCGGUCUCAUCUCACUCAACAUCUGCAGCUUGUCCACGCCUCUCCACGGCAGCAGAAAUGAGCCAAAGCAGGAAAGGCUGACUCAUUGUAGGUGCCAGAGGCUGGGAAAAUUUAUAGAGCCAGAGGGGAAGCAGACACACUGGUUCUGGGGAAGGGUGGCCUGUCACUUUGGGGAAAGAAAUGGAAGGUCAGAGGGACUUCUGGAAGGCAGAGGAGAGCAGGUGGGAUGGUUUCCUAUGCCUGGACCAUCAGUUUCUGGGAGGGAAGAGGCAGGGAGUAGUGAUGGAUGCCCUGGACUGAAGACUGGGAGGGCCAGAAAGGAGCCUUAAAAUUUGCACUUCCAGAGAGAAAGCCGGGUGGUGGGAUUGACCUUGGACUGACAACUGACAGGCAGCAUGCGGUGGAGUUUCAGGAAGCCAGAGGUCUGGGGUGCCAGCAACAACAAACCCAGGAUGGCUGAUGGAAGGGCCCAGCCUAGACAGGGAAGCAGAGGGGCUGCAUGGAAAGGCUGAGGGCUGGAGGUGAUGUGAAGUGGAAUAAGCUUCAGUGGGAGCCAGGAGGUUGUAUUUCCCGUUGGGGGCGGUGGUGGAGGGAUGGGGGUGCCCAGAGAGGAACUAUGGAUUAUGCCCAGGCCGGCCACUCAGAGUGCUUGGCAUCCAGGGUGUGUUAAGAUGGCAUUGAGGCCGAGCGCGGUGGCUUACGCCUGUAAUCCCAAUACUUUGGGAGGCCAAGGCAGGCGGAUCACCUCACUUUGGGAGGCCAAGGCAGUCAGGAGUUUGAGACAAGCCUGGCCAACAUGGUGAAACCCAGUCUCUACUAAAAAUACCAAAAACAAUUAGCUGAGCAUGGUGGCGUGCGUCUGUAAUCCCCGCUUCUGGGGAGGCUGAGGCAGGAGAAUUGCUUGAACCCGGGAGGCGGAGGUUGCAGUGAGCCGAGAUCGCGCCACUGCACUCCAGCCCGGGCGACAGAGUGAGACUUCAUCUCAAAAAAAAAAAAAAAAAAAAAAAGA